AACAAGUGGCCUCAGUUUCCUUCUGAUUUAAGGGAAGCAUGUGAAGAAUAUGCAAGACACGCUGAGAAA